UGAAACAAAGCCUUGGGGCGAGACACGUGCGCCACGCGGCGCAGACAACUUUACACACCCCCACAACAUGUAGGGGAGCGCCGCACGGGACCCACUGUACUCCAUUUUCGUUGGCACAACAGCUGUCAGGCCUCCCCAGUUGUCCAAGCCAAAUACAUUUCUCCCUGGGUAUGUUGCUUUUCUUGUCAUCAGCGCGGCAAAGAAGGUCAGGUCGACCGUAGCAAUAGCUCCACACAGCGCGGCGUUGCCAUACAUACCCAUGUGCCUUUCUAUCUUGGUGGCAAACGCAUCGAUCGCGACCCUUGUCGCCACGUGCGUCAUCUUUCUCAUUUUGUCAUCAUUGACGAUGACUUCACUUAACAGCAUACAUCUUAAGAACGCUGCUUCAUCACGUUGCGUACCGGCGGAUGAUCUGACCGCCUCGACAAGCUGCGACACAGUCUUAGUAUCCAGCAUAGCCGGGAACUCAAACAAAGCGACUGGCUUGGAAGUCCCCUAUAGGCUUGCUGAGCACGACAGCCAUGGCGCGAUAUCUGUCGGUCACCUAAACCCCAAACACACCUGCCCUCAACUGUCGGUCAUUACGCACAUUGCAUAUGGGGCCAGCUUCUGUCCAAGAGGUCUGGUUGAGGUAGAGUGGACCUUCGCCGUUAGGCCACGACAACACUAUCGGUAUAAGUGGGUCCGCCCAGCUCCAGGAUGUGAUGUCGCUGGGUGUCUUGGCCACGGUCUUGUACACCAUUUUGUCAAGACACGGCGGAUCCACACCGUUCAUUUCCAUUACUUGUGGGAGACUUUGCUCUCGGUACGCUUGGGCAACUUGUAGUGGAAGGGACUUGUUUCGUCUACUUUUUCUUCGUUCUGUGACAUCCUUCAGGUUAAGGGUGUGUGGUUUCUUGUGGAGGUGUGCGCUUUCUUGAGCACUCGUUUGUGAUACAGUUGCAGUUCACCACUUGCACGUACUCAACGCAGUGGCUCAUUGGUCGACACUCGGGACGCGCUGAAUUGCCGGAAAAAAAAAAAAUACACGCGGAGGCACAGGUAGGACACACACGAUGUUCUCUGGUCAGAUGUUGCUUUUAGCAUUGUUGCCCCAUUCGUUUCUAUUUCUAUCGUUCACCUCUAUCUCCCACUUCUUAUUUUUGUUCUGCUAACCCGCUUAUGGGGCUCAACUCGGGAAAAACCGCAUCUACUUAUUGAGGACAAAUUUCUUGAGAUCUCUUUUGUUCUACAGGUAAAAAUUGAGCCAUGUACAAAAAAUACCUGUAUAGAUUUUAACCGCUAAAGUGCUCUCAGCAUACAAGUUAGCAUGAACACGCACAGCGUGCAACAUCACUUAUGGUGACGUGGUCUUUCUUCAACGUUGCAAACGUUUCUAUACAUGUAAAUUUCUGAUGACUUCUGACUGAUUGUGGGAGUUGUGCCUGACUCGCGUGUAGAACAAGUGCUCGUGUUAAAGCUCAAAAACUUUGUAUGUGGAAUAUUCACCAUGCUUGUUCAGUUGGCAGUCCUUGGUGUAAGUAUGUCUCCAAUGCAAUGCCUCCAGAAGCACUGACAUGCAUACAAUAUAUGUAUGUCGGUGCUUUUUUUCUUUUAAAUCUCGGCAACGGGGGUUGUCUGGCCAAAGUACGUACAAGGGCAUGCUCAGUGUUCGGAAGCGUCCUCUACUACGGAACGCAGAGAAGAGUCCCCGUGCCGAGAGCUUACUAAUGAGAAGGCAGUAGGACCAUGUGAGUCGCCUGUGUGGUGUGUUGAUGCCCUCUCCUUCUUCGCCCGCUUGAAACGGUGGUCAUUCCCUGGUGUACGGUGAAACAACGCCAGCUUCCCUGGAGACACAAGAUUGUUAGUAGAUUAAAAUCGUUGGCUGAAAAGCCAAGAUCUUUUAAGGUGUCCAGACUCUCUUUGGCCCAUAUCCCCCUAUACGAUAAUGUUAUCUUAGAAACGAUUGGUGGUACAUCCCUUGAGACGAGAGCGCACAACUCCUGAUGCAUGUACUUGGUCGCUUUAACGGCGUGGGCAUCUGACAGCUUUAUCCUUCCUCCAACCACCUGCGCGUGGUAAACCAAACAAUGUACACCUGUACGUGUCAGCAGUACAUGCUUCUUUCUGGAAAUCAGACAAAGAAAUAAGCAAGACAAAAUAGAAAAGACAGAUAUUGUGUCGAAUAAGCAAGGGUUCUUCUUGAGGACGUAAGGAAAUGUUUAUACUAGUAAGGUGCACAAGAGAGCUAUCACAAGCUAAGG
rnacentral:lncRNA from 1 species